rnacentral:rRNA from 1 species
UACGGGGGAUGCAAGCGUUAUCCGGAAUGAUUGGGCGUAAAGCGUCCGCAGGUGGCAAUGUAAGUCUGCUGUUAAAGAGUCUAGCUCAACUAGAUACAAGCAGUGGAAACUACAUAGCUAGAGUACGUUCGGGGCAGAGGGAAUUCCUGGUGUAGCGGUGAAAUGCGUAGAGAUCAGGAAGAACACCGGUGGCGAAGGCGCUCUGCUAGGCCGUAACUGACACUGAGGGACGAAAGCUAGGGGAGCGAAUGGG